AUCGCUUCUCGGCUCUCUUGAGCUAAGAUCAAAAGUGUAGUAUCUGUUCUUAUCAGCUUAAUAUCUGAUACACUCCCCAUUGGGGAGUCAGAAUAUUAAACUGUUUUUUGGGACUAGAUGGAUUUUGGAGCUUGCUCCGGGUCUAUCGCGAGUUGACCCAGCCUUGCAGUAUUGCUGGGCUCGACUCUUAUUAA